rnacentral:lncRNA from 1 species
GUCUUCUACAGAACACCUUAGGCUGGUGGGGCUGCGGCAAGAAGCGGGUCUGUUUCUUUACUUCCUCCACGGAGUCGGCACACUAUGGCUGCCCUCUGGGCUCCCAGAACCCACAACAUGAAAGAAAUGGUGCUACCCAGCUCAAGCCUGGGCCUUUGAAUCCGGACACAAAACCCUCUAGCUUGGAAAUGAAUAUGCUGCACUUUACAACCACUGCACUACCUGACUCAGGAAUCGGCUCUGGAAGGUGAAGCUAGAGGAACCAGACCUCAUCAGCCCAACAUCAAAGACACCAUCGGAACAGCAGCGCCCGCAGCACCCACCCCGCACCGGCGACUCCAUCUUCAUGGCCACCCCCUGCGGCGGACGGUUGACCACCAGCCACCACAUCAUCCCAGAGCUGAGCUCCUCCAGCGGGAUGACGCCGUCCCCACCACCUCCCUCUUCUUCUUUUUCAUCCUUCUGUCUCUUUGUUUCUGAGCUUUCCUGUCUUUCCUUUUUUCUGAGAGAUUCAAAGCCUCCACGACUCUGUUUCCCCCGUCCCUUCUGAAUUUAAUUUGCACUAAGUCAUUUGCACUGGUUGGAGUUGUGGAGACGGCCUUGAGUCUCAGUACGAGUGUGCGUGAGUGUGAGCCACCUUGGCAAGUGCCUGUGCAGGGCCCGGCCGCCCUCCAUCUGGGCCGGGUGACUGGGCGCCGGCUGUGUGCCCGAGGCCUCACCCUGCCCUCGCCUAGUCUGGAAGCUCCGACCGACAUCACGGAGCAGCCUUCAAGCAUUCCAUUACGCCCCAUCUCGCUCUGUGCCCCUCCCCACCAGGGCUUCAGCAGGAGCCCUGGACUCAUCAUCAAUAAACACUGUUACAGC